UACGUAGGGGCCGAGCGUUGUCCGGAGUUAUUGGGCGUAAAGCGCGCGCAGGCGGCUUCGCGCGCCCGACGUGAAAGCCCCCGGCUUAACCGGGGAGAGUCGUUGGGGACGGCGGAGCUUGAGGGCGGGAGAGGGCGGUGGAAUUCCCGGUGUAGUGGUGAAAUGCGUAGAGAUCGGGAGGAACACCUGUGGCGAAGGCGGCCGCCUGGGCCGACCCUGACGCUGAGGCGCGAAGGCGUGGGGAGCGAACGGGAUUAGAAACCCCCGUAGUCC
rnacentral:rRNA from 1 species